rnacentral:rRNA from 1 species
AGAGUUUGAUCAUGGCUCAGAUUGAACGCUGGCGGCAGGCCUAACACAUGCAAGUCGAACGGUAACACAGAGAGCUUGCUCUUGGGUGACGAGUGGCGGACGGGUGAGUAAUGUCUGGGAAACUGCCCGAUGGAGGGGGAUAACUACUGGAAACGGUAGCUAAUACCGCAUAACGUCGCAAGACCAAAGUGGGGGACCUUCGGGCCUCACACCAUCGGAUGUGCCCAGAUGGGAUUAGCUAGUAGGUGGGGUAAUGGCUCACCUAGGCGACGAUCCCUAGCUGGUCUGAGAGGAUGACCAGCCACACUGGAACUGAGACACGGUCCAGACUCCUACGGGAGGCAGCAGUGGGGGAAUAUUGCACAAUGGGCGCAAGCCUGAUGCAGCCAUGCCGCGUGUAUGAAGAAGGCCUUCGGGUUGUAAAGUACUUUCAGCGAGGAGGAAGGCAUUAAGGUUAAUAACCUUGGUGAUUGACGUUACUCGCAGAAGAAGCACCGGCUAACUCCGUGCCAGCAGCCGCGGUAAUACGGAGGGUGCAAGCGUUAAUCGGAAUUACUGGGCGUAAAGCGCACGCAGGCGGUCUGUCAAGUCGGAUGUGAAAUCCCCGGGCUCAACCUGGGAACUGCAUUCGAAACUGGCAGGCUAGAGUCUUGUAGAGGGGGGUAGAAUUCCAGGUGUAGCGGUGAAAUGCGUAGAGAUCUGGAGGAAUACCGGUGGCGAAGGCGGCCCCUGGACAAAGACUGACGCUCAGGUGCGAAAGCGUGGGGAGCAAACAGGAUUAGAUACCCCUGGUAGUCCACGCCGUAAACGAUGUCGACUUGGGAGGUUGUGCCCUUGAGGCGUGGCUUCCGGAGCUAACGCGUUAAGUCGACCGCCUGGGGAGUACGGCCGCAAGGUUAAAACUCAAAUGAAUUGACGGGGGCCCGCCACAAGCGGUGGAGCAUGUGGUUUAAUUCGAUGCAACGCGAAGAACCUUACCUACUCUUGACAUCCAGAGAACUUAGCAGAGAUGCUUUGGUGCCUUCGGGAACUCUGAGACAGGUGCUGCAUGGCUGUCGUCAGCUCGUGUUGUGAAAUGUUGGGUUAAGUCCCGCAACGAGCGCAACCCUUAUCCUUUGUUGCCAGCGGUUUCGGCCGGGAACUCAAAGGAGACUGCCAGUGAUAAACUGGAGGGAAGGUGGGGAUGACGUCAAGUCAUCAUGGCCCUUACGAGUAGGGCUACACACGUGCUACAAUGGCAUAUACAAAGAGAAGCGACCUCGCGAGAGCAAGCGGACCUCAUAAAGUAUGUCGUAGUCCGGAUUGGAGUCUGCAACUCGACUCCAUGAAGUCGGAAUCGCUAGUAAUCGUAGAUCAGAAUGCUACGGUGAAUACGUUCCCGGGCCUUGUACACACCGCCCGUCACACCAUGGGAGUGGGUUGCAAAGAAGUAGGUAGCUUAACCUUCGGGAGGGCGCUUACCACUUUGUGAUUCAUGACUGGGGUGAAGUCGUAACAAGGUAACCGUAGGGGAACCUGCGGUUGGAUCACCU